AUCUGUGGAAGACCAACCGGGAUUGCCUCAGUAACGGCGAGUGAAGCGGCAAGAGCUCAAAUUUGAAAUCUGGCCCCUUUGGGGUCCGAGUUGUAAUUUGCAGAGGAUGCUUCGGGUGCGGUCCCCGUCUAAGUGCCCUGGAACGGGCCGUCAUAGAGGGUGAGAAUCCCGUCUGGGAUGGGCGGCCGCGCCCGUGUGAAGCUCCUUCGACGAGUCGAGUUGUUUGGGAAUGCAGCUCUAAGCGGGUGGUAAAUUUCAUCUAAAGCUAAAUACUGGCCGGAGACCGAUAGCGCACAAGUAGAGUGAUCGAAAGAUGAAAAGCACUUUGAAAAGAGAGUUAAACAGCACGUGAAAUUGUUGAAAGGGAAGCGUUGUCCACCAGACUCGCCCGGGGGGGUUCAGCCGGCACGUGUGCCGGUGUACUCCUCUCCGGGCGGGCCAGCAUCGGUUUGGGCGGCUGGUGAAAGGCCCCGGGAAUGUGCCACCCUUCGGGGUGCCUUAUAGCCCGGGGUGCCAUACAGCCAGCCUGGACCGAGGCCCGCGCUUCGGCGAGGAUGCUGGCGUAAUGGUGGUCAACGGCCCGUCUUGAAACACGGACCAAGGAGUCUAACAUCUAUGCGAGUGUUCGGGUGUCAAACCCGUCCGCGCAGUGAAAGCGAACGGAGGUGGGAGCCCCUCGGGGCGCACCAUCGACCGAUCCUGAUGUCUUCGGAUGGAUUUGAGUAAGAGCAUAGCUGUUGGGACCCGAAAGAUGGUGAACUAUGCCUGAAUAGGGCGAAGCCAGAGGAAACUCUGGUGGAGGCUCGCAGCGGUUCUGACGUGCAAAUCGAUCGUCAAAUUUGGGUAUAGGGGCGAAAGACUAAUCGAACCAUCUGGUAGCUGGUUCCUGCCGAAGUUUCCGGUCAGGAAACACAACCUACCAGAUGGUUCGAUUUAUCCUUUCGUCCUAUCAUCAAAAUUUGACAAUCGAUUG
rnacentral:rRNA from 1 species